AGAUCAGACCCAGCUACACAUUGAAUCUGAAGGCAUAAACAAUCAUUAAUUAUCAUAAGAACGACUAACCCCAAUUAAGCAAAACAAAGAUUCAAGCCAGUUUAUAUAUAUAAAAAGGGUUUAUAACACAAGUUAGAAGAGAAAACCUCCAGGUUAAGAAAUGACAACCCAAAGAACAAGAAAAUCAAGAUUCUUCCUAAUUCAUUUCCCUAGGUGAGAAAAAAACUGUUUCGCGAAAUUCAGCCACAGAGAAGCACAAUUUAAGAUUCAAGAUCAGACCCAACUACAUAUUGAAUGUGAAGUCAUACACAAUUAUCAUAAGAAUGACUAACCCCAAUUGAGUAAAAUAAAGAUUCAAGCCACUGUAUACAUAUAAUAGAAGGGUCGACUACAAGUAGAACAACAAUAUAUCCAUUAGGAAAUGACACCCAAAAGAAGAAGAAAAUCAAGAGCUUGGCUUAGAGAAACAGGAAAAUGUGUAAAGGAAAAAAAAAAAAAAAAAAAAAACAUUAGCGUAUCAGAAGAAUGACGUAAAACAAACCCAUCACUUGGAGAUUC